rnacentral:tRNA from 1 species
GGAGAGUUGGCAGAGUGGUCUAAUGCGGUAGUCUUGAAAACUAUUGUCCUUCACGGGACCGGGGGUUCGAAUCCCUCACUCUCCGCCA